GAUGAAGAACGUAGCGAAAUGCGAUACUUGGUGUGAAUUGCAGAAUCCCGUGAACCAUCGAGUCUUUGAACGCAAGUUGCGCCCGAAGCCUCGGCUAAGGGCACGUCUGCCUGGGCGUCACGCAUCGCGUCUCCCCCAAACCGCCAAGGCGGAGGGGAAGGAAGAUGGCUUCCCGUGCCUCACCCGGCGCGGUUGGCCUAAAUUUGGAGCCCGCGGCACUUAGCUCUCGCGGCGAUAGGUGGUGAACAAGGCCUUGGCCGUGCAAACAACCCGCUGCGAAGCUCUAUGUCACGUGCGCUCGUCGGACCCUUUGAAGUUGCCUUCGGUGACUUAAAACCUUUGCGACCCCAGGUCAGGCGGGGCUACCCGCUGAAUUUAAGCAUAUCAAUAAGCGGGGA
rnacentral:misc_RNA from 1 species